rnacentral:lncRNA from 1 species
AGGCAAAAAACAGAUAGAAAGUAAAACUACGUUUCUUUGGUUCCCUGAGUUCUUUUGCAGAAUCUUCUAGCAUAUUAAUUAGGCUCGCUCCACUUGCACUGAAGAAAUCACCGCAGCUGAUGGACUGCAAAGCCCUCUCCUUCCACUUGAGAACUACGUCAAGACUAGAGACUCCCAUUACCGACAUAACACACCAAAAUCUCCCCCAAGACGUACGCUGUCCAGGAGGGUAAACCCGCCGGGAAGUUGGCCGGAUGCAGGACAGUGGCAUCGGAGGUGGCACGCGCCCGCUUCUCUCACCGUACGGUUCCUCCUUCCCUGCUGUGCGGAAGAGGAUUACAGUUUGUGCAGUUAUGGUUUGAGGUUUUUAC